GGAAUCUUGUGCAAUGGGCGAAAGCCUGACACAGCCACGCCGCGUGCGGGAAGAAGGCCUUCGGGUUGUAAACCGCUUUCAGCAGGAACGAAAAUGACGGUACCUGCAGAAGAAGAUGCGGCCAACUACGUGCCAGCAGCCGCGGUGAUACGUAGGCAUCAAGCGUUGUCCGGAUUUAUUGGGCGUAAAGAGCUCGUAGGCGGUUCAGCAAGUCGGGUGUGAAAACUCUGGGCUUAACCCAGAGCCUGCACUCGAAACUGCUGUGACUAGAGUUCGGUAGGGGAGCAGGGAAUUCCUAGUGUAGCGGUGAAAUGCGCAGAUAUUAGGAGGAACACCAAUGGCGAAGGCACUGCUCUGGGCCGAUACUGACGCUGAGGAGCGAGAGCGUGGGUAGCAAACAGGAUUAGAUACCCUGGUAGUCCACGCCGUAAACGAUGGGCACUAGGUGUGGGUCUCUAACCAACGAGAUCUGCGCCGUCGCUAACGCAUUAAGUGCCCCGCCUGGGGAGUACGGUCGCAAGACUAAAACUCAAAGGAAUUGACGG
rnacentral:rRNA from 1 species